AUUGAACGCUGGCGGCAGGCCUAACACAUGCAAGUCGAGCGGCUGAAGGGAGCUUGCUCCUGGAUUCAGCGGCGGACGGGUGAGUAAUGCCUCGGAAUCUGCCUGGUAGCGGGGGAUAACGACGGGAAACGGGCGCUAAUACCGCAUACGCCCUGCGGGAGAAAGCGGGGGAUCUUAGGACCUCACGCUAUCAGAUGAGCCUAGGUCGGAUUAGCUAGUUGGUGGGGUAAAGGCCCACCAAGGCGACGAUCCGUAGCUGGUCUGAGAGGAUGAUCAGUCACACUGGAACUGAGACACGGCCCAGACUCCUACGGGAGGCAGCAGUGGGGAAUAUUGGACAAUGGGCGCAAGCCUGAUCCAGCCAUGCCGCGUGUGUGAAGAAGGUCUUCGGAUUGUAAAGCACUUUUGGUAGGGAGGAAGGGCAGUAAGUUAAUACCUUGCUGUUUUGACGUUACCAACAGAAUAAGCACCGGCUAACUUCGUG
rnacentral:rRNA from 1 species